rnacentral:rRNA from 1 species
AUACGGAGGGUGCAAGCGUUAUCCGGAUUCAUUGGGUUUAAAGGGUCCGUAGGCGGGAAUCUAAGUCAGUGGUGAAAUCUUGCAGCUCAACUGUAAAAUUGCCAUUGAUACUGGAUUUCUUGAAUUAGUGUGAAGUGGUUAGAAUGUGUAGUGUAGCGGUGAAAUGCAUAGAUAUUACACAGAAUACCAAUUGCGAAGGCAGAUCACUAACACUAUAUUGACGCUAAGGGACGAAAGCGUGGGGAGCGAACAGGAUUAGAAACCCGGGUAGUCC